ensembl:lncRNA
GGGACCUCUGAUCUAUAGCCAAUGGAUCAGAAGCACAGCUGACAGCUUGGACUUGAUUGGCAUCUGAAAUGUGUGUCUGAGCAGGGGGAGGGCAGACUUGUAGGACUGAGCCCUCUCCCUGUGGGACCGGUUGCCUUCUCCAGGUAAAGAGUAUCAGAACUGAACUGAAUUGUAGGACACCCAGCUGGUAUAGAAGAAUUGCUUUGUGUUGUGGGGGUAAAACCCACACAUAGGAAUUGGUAUCAGUAUAAUAAACGGAAUUCAUUGCUAGGAUGAAUAACAAGACAACAGAAGCAGGUAGAUACAAAGGCAAAGUACCGUUACCCAGUCUCCAUGUCACAUUUUGCAUCUGCUCCUAAACAGGUGUGGGUACAAGAGGAACAUCAUUCCUGGACAGUUUGAUAUAAUCUGUCAUUUUCUGUCUGGAGGAAAUUCUGCUUGGUUUUUUAAUGCAGAAGGAAGACACUGUCUAUUUAUCUUUACUGAAAAUGUGGCUGGGGGUCCAGAUUUUUGAAGCCCAGCCCAGCUCUUCUGGGAGCAGGAGUCACUUUUCUUUGUAGCUCAGUGUCACUGGGACAGAGCACUGAUCACCUGUCCAAUGAGGGUCAAAGAAGUGCCCAAUGCAGGGCUGUUGAGGGCCAGUGGAGACAGUGGGAUGGAGACGAAGCGAAGAGGGUAGAUGGUAAGCUCUUGAGCUCUGUGAAUUUUGACGACCAGCAGGCCAACCCCCAGCCUCCCCAUCUGCUACAAAAAAUACAUCAGGAUGUCCCCAUCAUCGUUCCUCCUUGGCAUCCUCAUCACCUGAGGGCUGGGGGGCGGGGUUGUCUCUACUCUGGCAGUUUAUCCACACAGGUGUCACCGCUGCCAGGACACCGUGUAAUGUCUGGGUCUGGGAUGUCCUGGGGAGUUUGGAGAGACUUUGGAGGUCAUCACCAGCCCAGCAAGGCCAUCACAACAUCAGGCUCUGGAGCCAAACCAGCUAGGUUCCAGUUCCCACCUGGAGCCAAACUCGCUGGGCUCAAGUCUGCACCAGUCACUUAGAAGCUGAUUAAAUGAGGGAAGCUACCUUACUUCUCCUCCCCACAGUAUCCGCACCUGUAAAAUCUGUAAAGGAAACAGCAGCUCCCACCUCAGAGGGUGGUAGAAAGGAUCAGUUUCCACAUGUUCAUUGCUGCUGCUGCUGCUGCUGCUAAGUGGCCUCAGUCGUGUCCGACUCUGUGCGACCCCAUAGACGGCAGCCCAUCAGGCUCCUCUGUCCCUGGGAUUCUCCAGGCAAGAAUACCGGAGUGGGUUGCCAUUUCCUUCUCCAAUGCAUGAAAGUGAAAAGUGAAAGUGAAGUUGCUCAGUUGUGUCUGACCCUUAGCGACCCCAGGGACUGCAGCCUACCAGGCUCCUCCAUCCAUGGAUUUUCCAGGCAAGAGUACUGGAGUGGGGUGCCAUUGCCUUCUCCAUGAUCAUUGCUAGUAUAUAUAAAUACAAUUUUUUUUGGUGUGUAUAACUUUCUUUCCUGCAAACUUGCUAAACUCUCUUACUCUAGAAGGGUUUUGGGGUAUUUUUUUUUGGCAAAUCCCUUAGAAUUUUCUACCUCGUCCACCAUGUCAUCUGAAUUAUAGACACAGGUUUCUUUAUGAUGCAUAUGCCUUUUAUUUCCUUCACGUGCCUGAUGGUAUCAGCUGGAGCUUCCAGGACCACUAACAAUGGUGUUUUUAUGAUGGCUGCUUUAAAAUCCUCAUUAGAAAAUUCUAACAUCUUUGUCAUCUCUGUGUUGAUGUCUACUGAUCAUUUUUACUCUUUCAAGAGAUUUCUUCUGACAUCACUUCUAUGGAUGGAGAGGGUUCAGCAUUGCUAGUGCCAAGUAGGUGCUGAAGUUCAGAUUCCUACCUGGCCAGUCUUCACUCCUGGAGGGGAGGAUUCUUCAUUACUGCUGAGCAGUGGUGGGAGGCUCAGCUUCUCAUGAUGCCUGCUGAUAUCACCAUGGCAGAGAGGCAAGGUGCCUUGUUAUGAACCCAUGUGAUCUCCACUGGCACCUCAAGGGGACCAGACCUUAUUAGCACUGGUCAGGGACUGAAGUCCUGACCUCCCACUUGGCCUUCUCCAAUACAAGCUGGGUGUAGGGGAGCAGCUGUGUCAUCUUGUUGCAGCUGGGCAAGCACGGAAGGCUAGGCCCAGCACCUGGCUCUUGCCUUCAAGGGUCACCUGGACCUUCAAGUCUUUCUGUAAAGUUGGGCUGAAGUAGGGUGGUUAUUGUCUAGACCUUUCUGUCUGGCCAGACUGACCCUUUCCUGGUGAAUACUCAUUGGAAGGACUGAUGCUAGUGCUGAAGCUCCGAUACUUUGGCCACCUGACGCAAAGAGCUGACUCAUUAGAAAAGACCCUGAUGCUGGGAAAGAUUGAAGGUGGGAGGAAAAGGGGAUGGCAGAGGAUGAGAUGGUCGGAUGGCAUCAUUGACUCAAUGGACACGGGUUUGAGCAAGCUCCGGGUAUUGGUGAAGGACAGGAAAGCCUGGAGUGCUGCAGCCCACGGGGUAGCAAAAAGUCGGACAUGAUUGAGCAACUGAACAACUGGAUACAGAAAGCAAGGUUUUUUUUGUUGUUGUUUGUUUGUUUUUUAUCUGUGAUUUCCUGUUGGCAGGUUGCUGGCUUCUUUAGCACUAGGUGUGGGAUAUAUAGGGCUUUCCUGGUGGUUCAGAUGGUGAAAAAUUUGCCUGCAAUGCAGCAGACUUGAGUUCAGUCCCUGGGUUGGGAAGAUCCCCUGGAGAAGGGAAUGGCUCCUCACUUCAGUAUUCUUCCCUGGAGAAUUUCAUGGACAGUGGAAUAUGUGAGACUGAAAGAAAAAUCCAGGGAACUCAUCACUGUGUCAUUUCUCCAGAUCCAAGAUCCCUUACUGAUCUGUUUUCUUCUUUCCACCUUUCAGAGUAAUUUUUAUGUUAGUUUUAUGUAUAAUGUUUAAGGG